UACGGGGGGGCAAGCGUUGUUCGGAAUUACUGGGCGUAAAGGGCUCGUAGGCGGCCAACGUAAGUCAGACGUGAAAUCCCCAGGCUCAACCUGGGAACUCGCGUCUGAUACUGAUUGGCUUGAAUCCGGGAGAGGGAUGCAGAAUUCCGAGGUGUAGCGGUGAAAUGCGUAGAUAUCUGGAGGAAUACCGGUGGCGAAGGCGGCAUCCGUGGACCGGCAUUGACGCUGAGGAGCGAAAGCCCAGGGGAGCCAAACGGGG
rnacentral:rRNA from 1 species